GCUUUGACGGUCGAAUGGCGUAGUGGUUAGUGAUCCUGACUGCUAUGCCGAAGGUCCCGGGUUCGAUUCCCGGCUGGGGCA
rnacentral:tRNA from 1 species